rnacentral:lncRNA from 1 species
AAUCAGGGGGCUCUGACCGCAGCAUGGGGCGGCUGCCUUGCCCUCUGCCCUCCUGAAUGUCGUAAGGGCCAUUUAUUCAAUUAUUCAUGCAACCAUUGGGUAGAGGAGCUGCACAUUUCAGUUUCAUUCCAACUGCUUGCAAGUUUACGGUUAAGAACUGCUGUAAGGUCCAGCGAGCUCAGGACUGCCUGCCCCUAUACUGCAGUGUCAGUUAAUUGCAAGGAGCAUGAGGAAUACCUGUCUGUUUCCCUUCUGGCUCCAUGGAAUGUGCAUACACUCAGAGGAAGCAGAUCGUGUGUCUCAAAGGCCAUGUACGCUCCACUAAACUGAAAGUAGUAAUCCAGGUGAGUUGGAUGGAGAUU